GAUGAACGCCAGCGGCAGGCCUAAUACAUGCAAGUCGAGGGGUAGAAGAGGCUUGCUUCUUUGAGACCGGCGCACGGGUGCGUAACGCGUAUGCAACCUACCUUCAUCUGGGGGAUAGCCCGGAGAAAUCCGGAUUAAUACCGCAUAAAAUCACAGGAUGGCAUUAUCCAAUGAUCAAACAUUUAUGGGAUGGAGAUGGGCAUGCGUGUCAUUAGCUAGUUGGCGGGGUAACGGCCCACCAAGGCGACGAUGACUAGGGGAUCUGAGAGGAUGGCCCCACAAACUGGCAAUGAGACACGGACCAGACUCCUACGGGAGGCAGCAGUAAGGAAUAUUGGUCAAUGGAGGCAACUCUGAACCAGCCAUGCCGCGUGCAGGAAGACUGCCCUAUGGGUUGUAAACUGCUUUUAUUCGGGAAUAAACCUUAUUACGUGUAAUAAGCUGAAUGUACCGAAGGAAUAAGGAUCGGCUAACUCCGUGCCAGCAGCCGCCGUAA
rnacentral:rRNA from 1 species